AGGUAUUGGUAUGCUGGCAGAAUCUCAGGACAGUACCAAAGUUGCCUUUGCAGGCUUUUCAUGCCUCGUCAAGUCAGUGAAGGCUGCCACGGCAGCAGCGCCUUUUGCCGAGUCAUCAAGCACCUGAAUGAAUCACUGCAAUCUCAAGGGAGUUAUCAGAAUCUCCACGUCAGUGCCUUCAUCACUUUCGCCUAACGACACAUCAAGCGAGACCGGGAACGACUGGCAGUGGGCUGGGAGCCCAACUUCAUUUACUCUAGAUUAUGUUGCUUCAUGAAAGGAAACCGUUUGUUCACACUCAAUUGCAAAGCAUGAAACUUUCGGCACAUGGGACGCCUAUUUAAUCUCAUUUGUUUAACUUAUUAUACUUCAAAAAGUCCAGUGGUGAGUAGUAAUACUGUAUUUACUCGCAUAAUGAA